rnacentral:rRNA from 1 species
UACGUAGGGGGCUAGCGUUGUCCGGAUUUAUUGGGCGUAAAGAGCGUGUAGGCGGCUUGGCAAGUCUGCUGUGAAAACUCGAGGCUCAACCUCGAGCUGUCGGUGGAAACUGCUUGGCUAGAGUCCGGAAGAGGAGAGUGGAAUUCCUGGUGUAGCGGUGAAAUGCGCAGAUAUCAGGAAGAACACCCGUGGCGAAGGCGGCUCUCUGGGACGGUACUGACGCUGAGACGCGAAAGCGUGGGGAGCGAACAGG